AGUUUGAUCCUGGCUCAGAGCGAACGUUAGCGGCGGGCCUAACACAUGCAAGUCGAGCGAGAAAGGGGCUUCGGCCCUGAGUAAAGCGGCGGACGGGUGAGUAACACGUAGGUAAUUUUCCCUUGAGCGGGGGACAACGAUUCGAAAGGAUCGCUAAUACCGCAUACGUUUCUAGAAACUCCGGUUUUUAGAAGGAAAGCUAGGCCGCAAGGUCCGGCACUCGAGGAGAAGCCUGCGUCGCAUCAGCUAGUUGGUGGGGUAACGGCCUACCAAGGCGAAGACGCGUAGCUGGUCUGAGAGGAUGAUCAGCCACACUGGGACUGAGACACGGCCCAGACUCCUACGGGAGGCAGCAGUGGGGAAUAUUGGACAAUGGGCGCAAGCCUGAUCCAGCCACGCCGCGUGAGUGAUGAAGGCCUUCGGGUCGUAAAGCUCUGUGGGGAGGGACGAGCCGCUGGAUGUGCAUAGCUUGCAGCAUGACUGGUACCUCCUUAGCAAGCACCGGCUAACUUCGUGCCAGCAGCCGCGGUAAUACGACGGGUGCAAACGUGGCUCGGAAUCAUAGGGCGUAAAGCGCACGUAGGCGGCUCAGCAAGUCGGAUGUGAAAUCCAUCGGCUCAUCCGAGGUAAGUGCAUCCGAAACUGCUGAGCUCGAGUACUUAGGAGGAUCGCCGAAAUUCCUGGUGUAAACGGUGAAAUUCGUAAAUAUCGGACGGAACACCAAUUGGCGAAUGCAGCGACUCUNGAUAAAGUCCUGACGCCUAAGGUGCGAAUCGAUGCGGGAACUAAACCGGAAUGCAUAACUCUGGUUAA
rnacentral:rRNA from 1 species